UCCGGGGGGGGCAAGCGUUGUUCGGAAUUACUGGGCGUAAAGGGCUCGUAGGUGGCCAACUAAGUCAGACGUGAAAUCCCUCGGCUUAACCGGGGAACUGCGUCUGAUACUGGAUGGCUUGAGUUUGGGAGAGGGAUGCGGAAUUCCAGGUGUAGCGGUGAAAUGCGUAGAUAUCCGGAGGAACACCGAAGGCGAAGGCAGUGUCCUGGCUGGUGACUGACGCUGAGGUGCGAAAGCUAGGGGAGCGAACGGG
rnacentral:rRNA from 1 species